CCUUGAUCGGAAGGCCUGGGUGGCAGGUACUUAAGAUAAGGAGCUAGAGGCUGAUGAGCAGUAUCCAGCUGAUUAAUCUUCAAAUCCUCGAGAUCCCAGGACAAUGCAGGAGGAUUUUGCGACCGAAUGGAAGAUCACAAAUGUAAACAGAGUUCAGAAUUGAGAAUGAAGAAACAUUGAAUGAAGGCUCAAAUCAGUAAAGUGAUGGAAGGGGUCGUCAUCUGUGCUAUCAAGUGGCACUUGCUUAGCAGUAACCUGCUCAUUGUCGCCCAGUUUGGGUUCCGCCAAAGCCACUCAGCU